UGCAAGCUUACUGCAAGAAGUUUCUUCUUAGCCUAAUGGGUCUAUCAGACAGAUUGGUGACCUUCAUGGGGACCCACCUGUCACCCCACAGCGGUGUCACAACGCGGCCAACCAUGAUGUUUCGCGGCAUUGAUUUGGAUGAAGUGGGUUCAACAAUAACAGUACUGCCUGGUGACAUAGGUGUAUCUUUAGGUAGCUUACCCCAAACAAGUGUUCUUGCCUCACCAGAAGAAUGACAGACUGCCUGAGCUUGACUGUGCCAAUCUUGUUUGGCAGCUCCUCACCCCUCCAACAGGAUGUGUUUGCCAUGAGGUCCAAGAACUGCUCACACUCAGGAGAUGAUGAGAGACUGUCAUUGGCGAUGAGCCGCCAAUAAUCAUCACUGUUUUUCAACUGGUGCAUAAGGAACUUUAUCACAUUUGUGCCAAUGAUAAGGUCGUCUCGCUGACCUGGUACCACAAGAGCUGGAACAAUGCAACUCUCCCCAUACACUUUCAGUUCAACCUCAAGCUCAACCAGUUCAAGCUCAACCAAUACAAUAAACAGCAAUAAUUAACAAAAGCUGAGGGAUUUUUGGUGGAAUGCAAUAUUGGUUUUAAUACCUGCUACAAAAGCAUGGACUGGGAAAUAAAAGGGUUGACUCCGCAAAAGCAACAAAGCUCCGCAGAGACACGCCCCACCCCAGUGAUGGUUCUGUAACCUCAGGUGAUUCUGUCAGAGCUAAAUCCGAAGCUGCCAAUCAAGUCCUCAACCCAAAGACUCAAGCCUGCGUGAGAUCAAAACCCAGGGGUCAGAUCAGCAUAGACUACGAAAAGGAAUUUCUGUCUGUGAAGGUCGGCCCACGACUGCUGAGUAGAUGCAAUGACAACAAACAGACCAGUCAUAACCAGCAGAAUGUUGACAGUGUGGAGUACUGGGAAAAACUGGCCCAAGAAUCAGAUCAGAGCAAACAGCAGGGAGAGCAGUUUAACUUCAAUACCAUUAUACCUCAACUUAAAGCCAAGAUUCUGUUUUU